rnacentral:rRNA from 1 species
CAGUCGCCACGGUAAUACGAAGGGUGCGAGCGUUAAUCGGAAUUACUGGGCGUAAAGCGUGCGUAGGCGGUGAGUUAAGUCUGCUGUGAAAUCCCCGGGCUCAACCUGGGAAUGGCAGUGGAUACUGGCUCGCUAGAGUGUGUCAGAGGAUGGUGGAAUUCCCGGUGUAGCGGUGAAAUGCGUAGAUAUGCGGAGGAACACCGAUGGCGAAGGCAGCCCCCUGGGCCAAUACUGACGCUCAUGCACGAAAGCGUGGGGAGCAAACAGGAUUAGAUACCCCCGUAGUCCCUGUCUCUUAUAC